rnacentral:piRNA from 1 species
GGACAUCCGCGAUGAUUUAGGGCUG